rnacentral:piRNA from 1 species
UUGGCAACCUACUAUUCUCAUCGCAGACUCU